UCUCCAGCACUUCUGCACCUUGGGAGCCUGCCCAAGUCUUCAACUGCUUGGCCAGAGCUCCCUGCCUACCGAGGAUGCUUGAGGGAGCUGCUGAUCAAUGGGGCCCCCGUCAACGUGACUGCUUCUGUACAAAUCCAGGGAGCAGUGGGGAUGCACGGGUGCCCCUCAGGAACCCUAGCACUUUCCAAGCAGGGAAAGGCACUGACCCAGAGGCAGGCCAAGCCCAGUGUCUCCCCGCUACUUUGGCAUUGAGGGUUCCCAGACCUUGGGGUUUGUCUACACUUUCUAUGAAUAACAAGUCNUUUCUGGUUUACACUGUCUUUUUAGAGGAAAAGGACCCUCGCAGAACAGACAUUAUAUUUAUACUUUGUCCCUCCUGCCCAACAACUGUCAGUACUGAGAUCUGAAAUUAAAGUGACUUGUUU